rnacentral:rRNA from 1 species
UACGUAGGGUGCAAGCGUUAAUCGGAAUUACUGGGCGUAAAGCGUGCGCAGGCGGUUUUGUAAGUCUGACGUGAAAUCCCCGCGCUCAACCUGGGAAUUGCGUUGGAGACUGCAAGGCUAGAAUCUGGCAGAGGGGGGUAGAAUUCCACGUGUAGCAGUGAAAUGCGUAGAGAUGUGGAGGAACACCGAUGGCGAAGGCAGCCCCCUGGGUCAAGAUUGACGCUCAUGCACGAAAGCGUGGGGAGCAAACAGG